GCGCCCGUAGCUCAGUUGGAUAGAGCAGCGCCCUUCUAAGGCGAAGGUCGGAGGUUCGAAUCCUCCCGGGCGUACCA
rnacentral:tRNA from 1 species